rnacentral:lncRNA from 1 species
CCAGCAACACCCACCUCUCACCUUCACGUACGAAGAACCCAGCGCCGUCCUCACCUUCAAUUCGCAUCCCAAAAAGCAGCAACCCAGAGCCGUCCUCACCUUCGCAAAAACCAGCGCCGUCCUCUCUCUCAACUCACCACGAGCGCCGUCCCCUCUCACGAACCCUAACUCCAAAUCGAAGCUUCUCUUUCUUUCUCCGGCCUCUACUCUCACGAAUCAAAGCUUGUUUUUCUCUCUCACAUCGAUUCAGGUACUCUUCUUUCUUUUUUAAUCCUUUUUAAAUAUUUUCCUUUUUUUGAUUUCUGUCGUGAUUUUCCUUUUUAAUUGUUACGUGGUUAUGUGGUUUUGAUGGGAGAUGGGUAUGAUUAUGGUGGAAGUGUGUGGUGAGGAAUUUGUUUUCACGCAUAGAAGAAGGUCUAAUUUGUGUUUUCUGUUCUCUAUUGUCUCAGUUUGUUGGUUACAAAAUCUCCCUUUGUUCUGAUUUUUUCAUGGUUUAUUACUUGGUUUGUUACUUGAUUUCUUUGUGAUUUCUUUCGUGAUUUUACAUGGUUUGUGGUUUGUUACUUGGUUUUAGCUCUUAGAAUUGUUUCUACUGCAAUUGAUUUAUGUUUUUUUUNNNNNNNUUUCAUCUGCAAUUGAUUCAUUUAAGUGAUUGGUUUCCCAUCGAGUACGAAACCAAUACUUUAGUUGGUGUUACCAUGUUUUAACUUAAUUUCACAACAUAGGUAUGGAUCGUAGUUGGAUGAAAGCUAGUAGAUUAAGUGCCGAGUUUGAACGGCGAGUGAUUGAAUUUAUUCGAUUUGCUGAAAUCAAUCUUCCAUCUCCCGAAAAUAAUGAUGAAAAAAAUCUUCCUCCUAAAAGUA